rnacentral:rRNA from 1 species
UACGUAGGGGGCAAGCGUUGUCCGGAAUCAUUGGGCGUAAAGAGCGUGUAGGCGGCCAGAUAAGUCCGCUGUGAAAUCUCGAGGCUCAACUUCGAGCUGUCGGUGGAAACUGUCUGGCUAGAGUCCGGAAGAGGAGAAUGGAAUUCCUGGUGUAGCGGUGAAAUGCGCAGAUAUCAGGAAGAACACCCGUGGCGAAGGCGGUUCUCUGGGACGGUACUGACGCUGAGACGCGAAAGCGUGGGGAGCGAACGG